rnacentral:rRNA from 1 species
UACGUAGGGGGGCAAGCGUUGUCCGGAAUUACUGGGCGUAAAGCGCGUGUAGGCGGCAGCGCAAGUCGGGCGUGAAAUCCCACGGCUCAACCGUGGAAGUGCACUCGAAACUGCGCAGCUAGAGUCCUGGAGAGGAAGGUGGAAUGCUUGGUGUAGAGGUGAAAUUCGUAGAUAUCAAGCGGAACACCGGUGGCGAAGGCGACCUUCUGGACAGUGACUGACGCUGAGACGCGAAAGCGUGGGGAGCAAACAGG